CCUACGGGAGGCAGCAGUGAGGAAUAUUGGUCAAUGGACGAGAGUCUGAACCAGCCAAGUAGCGUGAAGGAUGACUGCCCUAUGGGUUGUAAACUUCUUUUAUAUGGGAAUAAAACGUUCCACGUGUGGGAUUUUGUAUGUACCAUAUGAAUAAGGAUCGGCUAACUCCGUGCCAGCAGCCGCGGUAAUACGGAGGAUCCGAGCGUUAUCCGGAUUUAUUGGGUUUAAAGGGAGCGUAGGUGGAUUGUUAAGUCAGUUGUGAAAGUUUGCGGCUCAACCGUAAAAUUGCAGUUGAAACUGGCAGUCUUGAGUACAGUAGAGGUGGGCAGAAUUCGUGGUGUAGCGGUGAAAUGCUUAGAUAUCACGAAGAACUACGAUUGCGAAGGCAGUUCACUGGACUGCAACUGACACUGAGGCUCGAAAGUGUGGGUAUCAAACAGGAUUAGAUACCCUAGUAGUC
rnacentral:rRNA from 1 species